UACAUAGCUUAAUGAGGGGAACUCAGGGAACUGAAACAUCUAAGUACCUGAAGGAAGAGAAAGAAAUUCGAUUCCGUAAGUAGCGGCGAGCGAACGCGGAUUAGCCCAAACCAAUAAAGUUUUCUUUAUUGGGGUUGCGGACAUAUCAUAACGAAGAGGUAUCGUAAUUGAAGAGGUUUGGAAAGACCCACCACAGAAGGUAAUAGUCCUGUAUGUUAAACGAGAAGACUUUAGAUAUGAUCCAGAGUACCACGGGACACGUGAAACCCUGUGGGAAGCAGGAGGGACCACCCUCCAAGGCUAAAUACUACCUAGUGACCGAUAGCGUAUAGUACCGUGAGGGAAAGGUGAAAAGAACCCCGGGAGGGGAGUGAAAUAGAACCUGAAACCCUGCACUUACAAGCUGUGGAAGCACAUUUCUUGUGUGACCGCGUACUUUUUGUAGAACGGGCCAACGAGUUACG
rnacentral:rRNA from 1 species